UACGUAGGGUGCAAGCGUUGUCCGGAAUUAUUGGGCGUAAAGAGCUUGUAGGCGGUCUGUCGCGUCUGCUGUGAAAAUCCGGGGCUCAACCCCGGACUUGCAGUGGGUACGGGCAGACUAGAGUGUGGUAGGGGAGACUGGAAUUCCUGGUGUAGCGGUGAAAUGCGCAGAUAUCAGGAGGAACACCGAUGGCGAAGGCAGGUCUCUGGGCCACUACUGACGUGAGAAGCGAAAGCGUGGGGAGCGAACAGG
rnacentral:rRNA from 1 species